GGCACAGAGGGCAGGUAGCACCAGGCUGGGCUGGAAGAGGCCCUGGGCAGCAAAGUGCAGGCAGAAGGCGGAGAGGGACUUGGGCAGUAAGGCAGCACCCAGAGGAGAGAGGAGGGGAGGGGACACUGAGACUGAGGGGGAAAGGGAGUGGACGUUCCAGGAGAAGGGAAUGUACCUCGGCUUCUAUUUAUUUUUAUUUUGGACACGGCUCCAUGGUGAGAACGACUAAAGUACUCUGUGUUCUGGUUCUAGCUGUGCUGCCUUUCUUUUCUCCUUUUGAUGCAUUUUCUCAUGAGUCGAGGGAGCCGGAUGAACUGUGGUGCUUCGCAGAUGGAGAUGCGGACACACAAAGUAGACAGUGUGCAUCCUGCUAAGAGCCGGACACCAGGAUCUCCAAUCCCCGAGGGCUGGACGAUGGUGACGGUAUGGAAAGUUGAGUGAAAGCUGCAUAGGACAUCUGGAUACUACUUUUGCAACUUUUCUGUAUCGUGGAAAUCCCCCUGGUGGUGGCUGGAUUAGAAACAUCAAGAGGCCCA